rnacentral:rRNA from 1 species
GGAUGGACGCACCGCUGGUGUACCAGUUGUUCUGCCAAGGGCAUCGCUGGGUAGCUAUGUGCGGACGGGAUAAGUGCUGAAAGCAUCUAAGCAUGAAGCCCCCCUCAAGAUGAGAUUUCCCAUUCCGUUAAGGAAGUAAGAUCCCUGAAAGAUGAUCAGGUUGAUAGGUCUGAGGUGGAAGUGUGGCGACACAUGGAGCUGACAGAUACUAAUCGAUCGAGGACUUAACCAA